rnacentral:rRNA from 1 species
GACGAACGCUGGCGGCGUGCCUAAUACAUGCAAGUCGAGCGGAUGAAAGAGGAGCUUGCUCCUCUAGAUUCAGCGGCGGACGGGUGAGUAACACGUGGGCAACCUGCCCUGUAGAUUGGGAUAACUCCGGGAAACCGGGGCUAAUACCGAAUAAUCCUUCGGACCUCAUGGUCCGAUGUUGAAAGACGGUUUCGGCUGUCACUACAGGAUGGGCCCGCGGCGCAUUAGCUAGUUGGUGAGGUAACGACUCACCAAGGCCACGAUGCGUAGCCGAACUGAGCGGGUGAUCGGUCACACUGGGACUGAGACACCGCCCAGACUCCUACGGGAGGCAGCAGGAGGGGAUAUUCGACAAUGGACGAAAGUCUGAGGGAGCAACGCCGCGUGAGUGAAGGAGGUUCUCGGAUCGUAAAACUCUGUUGUGAGGGAAGAACAAGGACCGGAGUAACUGCCGGUGCCUUGACGGUACCUCAUUAGAAAGCCGCGGCUAACUACGUGCCAGCAGCCGCGGUAAGAC